AGCCACAGUGGGAAGGGGGCAGGCAGGAGCAGCAUGAACCCCCUGUGCCCUCCUCUCCCCAGGACGACUUCAAAGAGGGCUACCUGGAGACAGUGGCGGCUUAUUAUGAGGAGCAGCACCCAGAGCUCACUCCUCUACUUGAAAAAGAAAGAGAUGGAUUACGGUGCCGAGGCAACAGAUCCCCUGUCCCGGAUAUUGAGGAUCCCGCAACCGAGGAGCCUGGGGAGAGCUUUUGUGACAAGGUCAUGAGAUGGUUCCAGGCCAUGCUGCAGCGGCUGCAGACCUGGUGGCAGGGGGUUCUGGCCUGGGUGAAGGAGAAGGUGGUGGCCCUGGUCCAUGAAGUGCAGGCCCUCUGGAAAAAGUUCCAGAGUUUCUGCUGCUCUCUGUCAGAGCUCUUCAAGUCCUCUUUCCAGUCCUACGGAGCCCCACAGGGGGGCAAGGAGGAGCUGACACCCCAGAAGUGCUCUGAACCCCAAUCCUCAAAAUGAAGAUACUGACACCACCUUUGCUCUCCGCGUCACCGCCCACCCACCCUGACCCCUCC
rnacentral:sRNA from 1 species